rnacentral:tRNA from 1 species
CCGCGCACUGGGCGUGGAUUCGUGCGGUGACUUGCGAAGUCACUCGAUGGCCAAUCUCACCGAGCGCUUCGGCGUGUUCGGCC